CCAAUAGCGUAUAUUAAAGUUGUUGCAGUUAAAAAGCUCGUAGUUGAACUUCGGGGUUUACCCAUUGGUCAGGCUUAAUUGUCUGUACUGGUGAGAUAAAUCUCUACCUUCUGAGGAACUUUCAUGUCAUUAAUUUGGUGUGAUUGGAAAUCAGGACUGUUACUUUGAAAAAAUUAGAGUGUUUAAAGCAGGCUAACGUCUGAAUACAUUAGCAUGGAAUAAUGAAAUAGGACGGACUGAUUCUAUUUCGUUGGUUUCUAGGAUCACCGUAAUGAUUAAUAGGGAUAGUUGGGGGCAUUAGUAUUCAAUUGUCAGCGGUGAAAUUCUUGGAUUUAUUGAAGACUAACUACUGCGAAAGCAUUUGCCAAGGAUGUUUUCAUUAAUCAAGAACGAAAGUUAGGGGAUCGAAGACGAUCAGAUACCGUCGUAGUCUUAACCAUAAACUAUGCCGACUAGGGAUCGGACGAAGUUAAUUUUAUAAUGACGCGUUCGGCACCUUACG
rnacentral:rRNA from 1 species